rnacentral:rRNA from 1 species
AAUAUUGGACAAUGGGGGCAACCCUGAUCCAGCCAUGCCGCGUGUGUGAAGCAGGUCGUCGGAUUUCAAAGCAUUUUAUGGCGGGAGGAAUGGCAGUAAGUUAAUACAUUGCCGCUUUGACGUUACCGAAUUAAUAAGCCCCGGCUAACUACAUGCCGGCAGCCGCGGUAAGACGUAGGGUGCAAGCGUUAAUCGGAAUGACUGGGCGUAAAGGGUACGCAGGCGGCUAGGAAAGAAAGAUGUGAAAUCCCAGGGCGCAACCUGGGAACUGCUUUCAAAACUGGCAAGCUAGAGUAUGGCAGAGGGUGGUGGAAUUUCCUGUGUAGCGGUGAAAUGCGUAGAUAUAGGAAGGAACACCAGUGGCGAAGGCGACCACCUGGGCUAAUACUGACACUGAGGUGCGAAAGCGUGGGGAGCAAACA